rnacentral:rRNA from 1 species
UACGUAGGGGGCGAGCGUUAUCCGGAUUCAUUGGGCGUAAAGCGCGCGUAGGCGGCCGCCUAAGCGGAACCUCUAAUCCCGGGGCUCAACCUCGGGCCGGGUUCCGGACUGGGCGGCUCGAGUGGGCGAGAAGAAGGCGGAAUGCGUGGUGUAGCGGUGAAAUGCAUAGAUAUCACGCAGAACCCCGAUUGCGAAGGCAGCCUUCCGGCGCCCUACUGACGCUGAGGCACGAAAGUGCGGGGAUCGAACAGG